rnacentral:lncRNA from 1 species
AGGAGGUACUCAGUUGGAGAAAUUGCUGGCGCUUAAGUAGGAAGGGUCCGUUCAGGAUUACCGGCGUGCUAGAAUGCAAUUUCGUCAAUGGAUUAACUCCCAUUAUACGGGCAGAAAUAAGAAUGUUGAAGCCUCGUGGGUUAGCCCACACCAUGGGGCUAGCCCAACGGGUCGAAGACAGGAAUGAAGCAAUUGGCAUGGCCCAACUACAAUUAGGAGUAAUAUAAACAGCACUGCCUACAGCCCACUUAAUUACUCCCAAAACUCUCAGAAUGUCAAUACGACCUCACUCCAGCGACUUCUAGCAGCACCUUUGAAGCCCUUGACCCCCAACCCAUGCGGUCCAGUAAUCGAAAAAGGGGGGACACCAUACUAAAGAUUGAUAGAUGCGGAGCUUCAGCUGAAGGGGGAGAAAGGAUUAUGCUAUAAAUGUGAUGAGAAAUACCAACCGGGACACAAGUGCCGCCUCAAGGAGUUGCAUGUCCUCGUUGUUCAAGAUAAGGAAGGAUUGGAAGAAAUGGUGGAAUCGGGAGCUGAGGUAGGAGAAAAUUAUGUACACAAAGUAGUGGAACUAUCUCUUAACUCGGUGGUUGGGCUGACCACCCCGAAGACAAAGAAGGUGACUGGGUAUAUGUGAGGUCACACUGUAGUUGUGCUCAUUGAUUGUGGGACGACUACAACUUUAUAUCCUCGGAAUUGGUAAAGAGCUGAACAUUCCGGUGACAGGGACUAACAGCUACGGAGUCACUAUGGGAACAGGUACCACAGUCAAGGGAGGAGGAAUUUGCAAAGGAGUAGUCGUGUCACUGCCCAUCAUCGAGGUGGUGGAUGAUUUUCUCCCUCUUAUGCUGGGUGUCGACCUGAUUUUGGGAAUGAAGUGGCUAGGUACUCUGGGCCAGACACAGGUGUAUUAGGGAAGGCUAAUAAUGAAGUUUAAGGUGGAAGGGCAUUCGAUCAUGUUGCAGGGAGACUCCAGUCUACAAAAGACUUAGGUCUCCAUUAAAUCAAUGGUCAGGAAUUUCAAGGAGGAAGACCAAGGAGUACUUCUGGAAUUGGGAAGCCUGAAGCUGGAAGAUGAAAGACAAGGGAUUAAGGCAGUUGAUGAGGUCACCGAUGUAUUAUAGCGUCACCACCAAGUCUUUUGAGUGGCCAAACGAGUUACCUUCGGUGUGUUCCCACGAUCAUGCGAUUGUGCUCCAAAUCGGGGUAGCCUCGAUGAAUUUAAGGCCAUAUCGUUACCUGUAUUUCCAAAAGAUCGAGAUAGAGAAGCUAGUGCGAAAAAUGCUAGAGGCAGGGUUAAUCCAACCCAGCUAUAGCCCAUUUUCGAGCCCGGUUCUGUUGGUUAAAAAGAAGGAUGGGAGUUGGCGCUUUUGCGUAGAUUACCGGGCAUUAAACAAAGUAACAGUUCCAGAUAGAUUUCCUAUACCAGUGAUUGAUGAAUAGUUAGAUGAGCUUCAUGGGGCGAACAUCUUUUCUGAGCUGAACUUAAAAUCAGGGUACCACCAGAUACGAAUGAGGCGGGAAGAUGUGCCAAAAAUGGCCUAUCGAACUCACGAGGGCCACUAUGAACUUAUGAUCAUGCCGUUUGGACUGACAAAUGCAUUGGCUACAUUCUAAGGGUUGAUGAAUGAUGUAUUCCGACCUUAUCUCAGAAAAUUUGUGCUGGUUUUCAUUAAUGACAUUUUAAUAAACAGCACAAUGUUGAAGAAACACCAAGCACACUUGGAUACUGUCCUCACGUGCUGACAACAACACAAGCUAUAUGUAAAUGAGAAGAAGUGCCCAUUUGGGCAGCCUCAACUGGAAUAUUUGUGCCAUACUAUUUCUGGGAAUGGAGUGGCAGCUGAUAAGUCUAAGGUCGAGGCAAUGUGUAACUGGCCUAAGCCUAAAAAUUUUCAAGAGCUUCGUAGAUUCUUGGGUCUCACCGGCUACUAUCGCCGUUUUGUGGAAGGUUAUAUUAAGUUCGCUUGGCCACUAACUUGAAUUGUUGAAAAAAGAUGGGUUCAUCAGGAGUAAGGCAGCAGAGGAUGCUUUCUGCAACCUGAAGAAAGCUAUGACAAAAGUUCCGAUCCUAGCUUUGCCAAACUUCUCACAAGUUUUCGUGGUAGAGACGGAUGCCUCGGGUCAAGGGUUAGGGGCAGUUUUAAUGCAAAGGUAGCACCCAAUCGCUUACUACAGUCAGGUGCUUCCUCUUAGUGAUAAAUGCAAGUAGCUUAUGAACGCGAAUUGGUGGCCAAACUGAAGUCGUCAACCGUUCUUUGGAAACUUACGUUGCUUCGCCUCAAGUAAACCCCACUCAUGGAGACAAUGGUUAUCAUGGGCAGAAUUCUGAUAUAACACCUCAUUUCACACUGCAACGAAGCACGCUCCUUUUUAGAUUGUAUAUGGCUGUGAUUCCCCACCUGUUCUACCGUUUGAGAAAGGUAUUACAGGAUUAUCGUCAGUUGAACUGUCUUUAGUCAGAAGAGAUGAAGUCCUCCAACACCUUAAGAUGCAUCUGCUACGUGCCCAACAUAGGAUGAAACAUUAGGCAAAUAGGCACCGUCGCGACAUCCAGUUUGAAGUUGGGAACUUGGUUUACCUGAAAUUACUUCCUUACCAUCAAACCUCAGUGGCUCGUUGCUCUUAAGCAAAGCUCUCUCCCAGGUAUUAUGGACCUUUCGCAAUUGAGGCCAGAGUUGGGCAAGUGGCUUACGGGUUGAAACUUUCUCUUGAAUCGGCCAUACAUCCUGUUUUUCAUGUAUCACCACUUCGGAAGGCAGUAGGAAAUGUUCAGACUAUCUCCCAUCUUCCAGAACAUCUAGUCGUGGAAAAUCAGUACAAAGGUAAAGCCUGAGUCCAUGUUGCAGAUUCGUACCAGUUCAGUAGGAGACUCGGUUCCUGAAGUGUUGAUCAAGUGGAAGAACUCCCCCUGACUUUGAAGCUACAUGGGAAUCUAUUAAGAACAUCCAUCGGCAAUUUCUUGACUUCUACUUUGAGGACAAGGUGGAUUUCGGGGUUGGGGCAGGUGAUGAUAGGCCCCCGAUAAUAUUUACAUACACACGAAAGAAUAAGGAGGCAACCAAGUCAGAGGCCAAGUAACAGAACAGAUGCCAAGUCAGCUGAGUAAUAGAAAUCAAUUUUUAUUUGCAUGACGUUUUGUUAUUCUGUUGGCUGUUGGGGAGGUAGGGUUGUGAGUCAGUUGGAAGAUUGUCAAUAAAUGUAAAGGAAAGGGGGGAGGGGUAGAAUAUUCAUUCAGAAAUCAAGAGUCUAGUAUGAGACUUGGAGCCUCUUGAAUGCUCCCAGUUGUUCUGUUUUCUACUGUUCAAUAAAAGUCAU